rnacentral:lncRNA from 1 species
CGGAUGGUCCAUCAGCUGCUGCAACCGAAAGGCAAUCCUCUUCACGUUCCACAGCUUCUGAAAAGACUACAACAGAUCAGUUUCCAGAUAUUAAUUUGCUGGUAGCGGCACAAGAAGCAACCUCUCUUCCUAUUUCAGAGUCUGACGUAAUCAUGCCUGAUCUCGCUCAGAUUCCAGAAAUAAUGCCCGAAAGUAUGGAUGGUAUUCCUGCAGAAAGUUUCAUUGGAUCCAGGAUGGAGAAUGGAGGAUAUGUUGAUCCCACUUCAUUGAUAGUGAAUGGUUCAGUGCCUAUAGAAAUUGAUGACAUUUCAACUGAUGCUGAUAUUGAUGCUUUGCUAGAGAGUUCUGGCUUAUGGGAUAUUGUACACAGUCCAGUUCCCGAGGACAUUGAAUCAACCUCGGUGGAUGUCAAAACUGUGGGAAAUGAAAUGCAGGCAAUAGAGAACGGAUGGAACAAAGUCCAGAGUAUGGAUCAGCUCACGGAACAAAUGGGUCUUCUUAACUCGGAGACAAAAGAGGUCUGAUUUAAAAUGCUAAAUGUACCACUGGUUCUAUUAUCAUCUGAGGGUCAGAAAAUAGAGGGAAAAGGGGAAAAAAAUUGACAGUUCAUGAUCUACUUAUUUGGUCGAUGAAAACAGCUAAUUCCUUCUGUAGUAUCUCUUCAGCCUGGGUCUGUCGCAAUCACAUUGAAGCACCCAAUUUAGUGCCCCCCUCCUCUCUGGUAUUUGGAUGCUGCCCCAAGAUUCUAUAGUUUGUAUAGGUUGAUGUCCUCCUUCGGCGAGACAACCUUCGUUCUACCAAGGAUUGAUAUUGCUUAUAAUGAAUGCUUUCAUAAAUUUCGAUUAUAUUACCAUAAAAACUCCAAGGCAACGUCUAUUUUUGCAGUGGGGAUCACAAACCCUACUUCGGGCGCUCCAUUAUGUUCAAACACCAUUGAUAAGUAGAUAUCUAAGUCGAAGUUGCUGAGUUUAGAGAUGACGUUGCUACUAAAUGUUCAUUGGGUACAAUUCCGUCACCGCUGAAAAAAGCUCAAAUCUAAAGUGCCAAACAAAUGUACUCUUUUCUUUUUCAACAAAUGUUUAUCAGCCAGCAAGUAUAUUUCUAGCAGCAACCAGGUUAUAUUUGUUACUAACGGCUGGCCAAGAAUGUUUUAAAAACACAUUAUUGAAAAAUCGGAAGCAAUUAGAUUAAAUAUGCAUUUUAAAAAGUGCAAAGAAUGAGAGACACGUCAUAAAUCUUUAUUCACAAAAAAAUUAUCUUUUUUUCCGCUAAAAUUUCUGCAACAUAUUAGUUCACCAUCAAAAUUUUCUGAUAGAUAUAUUUUAUCACCAAAAGCUUAACACUACUAAAAAAUUAUUGAGGUCGUCAGGUAUUUAAGAAAUUUCAAGUUGAAGUUAUUUUCAUAUUUUUCUAGUUCUUUUCCGAAUUUUAUAUUUUUCUUUAGACAUUUGAUUUAGGAGCUUUUUUUUUCCCUUAUUUCAAUUAUUAAAAUUUUCCAAAAGAAAUUUUAAAAAUUGCUCUUUCGUUAUACCUAAUUUCAAAACAAUUAUGGAUGGAGAGUAAGUUUUCUUUUUGAAAGUAACAAAUAGUUAAGUUUAAGACUAUUGUUAUUCUCUUUUACCUUAAAAUAGUUGCUAAAUGUUAACAGUUAUUGACAUCUCAAUCCGGAACAUACCUAAAAGUUACCACAAUCCCGAUGCAAUGUGUGUUUUAGCUGCCAACGCUAAGCUCUCAAAUACUUUACAACUUGGCUUUUGCAAUUCAUCAUAUUAUUUCUCACACAAUUUUAGAUUUUACGAUUCUAUUGUAAAAAUCCAAAACAUAUCUUACUAUCAAUAGUAUAAGAUUCUCAAACUAUUAAUUGACAAAGCCAGUGGCUCCAGUAGAGCUACUCCACUGUGGAGAACUAACGAUGACCAUCAGAUCAUAAUAGUAAGUAUAAAUUUAAUAUUUAUCUCUAUAAUCACACAGUCAUCAUCAAGUGCUCUACCGUAAAGUAGUUUCAACAUAAUCGGAUCUAAUGACGAAUUGUAGUUAUAAAAUCUAGUAUAGAUUCAAGGCUUACCAUGAUAUACCAUAGUUAUAAAUCAAUUUGCCGUCCCUAACAAUGACAACUGCUUGCACUUAGCCAACUCAACUAUCUCCAUCGCCAUGGAAUACAUUUAAUGUGAAACAUAUCAGAGAAUUAUCAUUUGACCAAAUGGUAUAAACAAACAUAAAUAACAGAAUAUUUCAUUAGAAACCCCAGAAGGAGAACAUUUCAUUGAAAUGCUGAAUUUUCCACCAGCAGUAACGAAAUAAUAUACUCUUUAAAGAUUGAUCUUCCAUUUUCGCUAGGAACAAAGAGGCAUUUAGAGGUAUAAGGUAACUCAAUGGACACUAAUAAUAGAUACUAAAUAGCAAAGCUAUUUGAAGCACUAGAGAAUACUAAAAUGUAGAGAGUACUAAAAUGUUAUAUCUCAGCUCAAAAGGUGGACAGGUAGCAACUAAGAACUCUAGUUAGCAACUUUAGUUCAGUUUUAAUGUUUACUUCAUAUUUGGUUCACAAAAUUGUAAACCUGUUGGUUUCUUUCUAGUUCAGCUUUGAGCCAAAACCGAAUCGAACCAGAUGGUGUUGUGCAAGGUAACUGUAGAACUCUUUUAUUACUUUUGAAAGCUCUUUUAUGUUAAUUGGAUACCAGCAACCUUACAAUAAAUUAUUUCAACUUUUAACAUGUGAAUGUCAGUAAAGGACAAGAAACACAACCUCCUCCCAUGCAUAGGAGAAUUACUAUAUUUUAUUAUUUAUUAUUAUUAUUAUUAUUUUCUCUUUAAUAAUAAUGUCUUCAACUUUAUUACAAAGAGGACGUCUCACCCCUUGAGAGUUAAUUGUAGCAUGUGAUGCCAAAUAAUAACGGCGCACAAAAACUAUUUGCACAAACUUUUUUAUAGAAUUGAAUUGAUAGCUGACGUGGCAUAUGACCUAGUUAAGUGAUUGUAACUUAACGAUGUAAAAAGCAUAAGGACUAAAAAAAGUUUUAAAAAGAUUUUUUUAUUUUGUUUUUUUUUUAUAUUUCUCUCCCUUCACAUCACUAACUCCUCUGCGUUAAAGAGUAUAGUAAUGAUUGUGACAUAGAGGCUUGAUGCAUUGCGAUCAUGAAAAGGAAGGUGAUAUAGAGGUUUGAUUAAUUGCAAAGCAUUAUAAGCCUUGUAGUUUAGUCAGCAGCUUAGUAAACUUAGUUAUGUUGACGUGGAAAGUUAGUUAUGACAAGAUUUGAUGAUUGUUUGACAUGAACCCCGCUAAGAACUUAUGCGACCCUAAUCAAUUUAGUUUCUAAGAUUAAAUCUAAACCUAUAAUUUAAUGAAACUGCGAUCCGAUGCUCAAUGAAAGCAUGAAUUUUGAUAUGUGAGGUCGCCACAAUCAGUUAUGGAUGAUCUAAUUGAUAAUUAAGAGUUUGAACACCACAAAAAUCUGAUAAGUUCAAAGAGUUUGUUUAAAAACUAAAAAGAAUUAACUCUCUCACUAAUUGCAUCAAAACCGAUCUAUCUCUAUUUAUUGGAUAGGAGUACAUUAAAUAGGUUGGUUACAAGAAUUUUUGGAAAUAAAUCGUACACCAAAAUCAAAUCGGAAUCUUAAUUUAAAGCAAAUAAGGAAAGAAUAUAAAUCAAAUCAUAAUCUUAAUCUAAGCGAAUGGGAAAGAAUCUAAAUCAAACCCGAAUCUUAAUCGGCUUAAAUGCCUUACAUCAAUUAAAAUAUAAACUCGAAAAUUAAAAGCGAAAUAACUGAUUUGUUUCUAGAGAAAUGGAAAAGUGUCCAAAAAGAAAAUUAGUAUAUUUUCCAAAUGGAAAAAUAUCUAAAAAAGAAAAAUAAUAUAUUUUCCCACCAUAAUGUGCAAGCCAACUUUCCAUUUCAUGGAAGUGAUUAUUUGGAAACUUUAAGAGCCUAAAUCAUGCAUUUAUCAUGUUCGAUUCCUUCAACGGGGCUCCACGAAUUUGAUUGAGCACAAGUUGCUUAAAUCAACCCAUUAAAUGGUUCUUUGAAUUUCUUUGCUCGAACUUUUGCGACUGAUCCGACAUGAACUUAAAUAGAAUCUGAAUAUACCUUAUCUCAUGUGCUUGUGACAAUUUUGUCCUAAAUCUCACCAUUCCCCUCCUCUUGAAAAGGAUUUGUCACCAAAUCAUCAUUUGCAUGAAAAUGACUCAAAUUAGAAACAUUAAAAGUAGCACUUACGUUAUACUCAUUGGGCAAAUCCAACUUGUAUGCAUUGUCAUUGAUCCAUUCUAAAACUUGGAAAGGACCAUCCCUUCGAGGUAAUAACUUAGAUUUACUCUGUUUCGGAAAUCGUUCAUUGCCCAUGUGUAAGCACACCUAAUCGUUGGGUUCAAAAACUAGCUUAUGUUGUCCUUUGUUGGCUUGUUUAACAUAUUGUUCAGUUCUUCACUCAAUGUUGAACUUCGCCAUCUCAUGUAUUUGUUUAAUAGUUUCAGCAUUUUUCUUGCCAUCUAAGUUAACAUGCUUAGAAACAGGUAGUGGAGUUAAAUCCAAUGGGGUUAAAGGAUCAAAACCAUAAACAAAAUUUAAACGGUGAAUACUUAGUAGUAGAAUAAACAGAACGAUUAUAAGCAAACUCAACAUAUGGCAAACAACCUUCCCAAGUUUUGAUGUUCUUUUUAAUGAUAGCCCGCAACAGAGUAGAUAAAGUUCUAUUCACAACUUCUAUUUGACCAUCAGUUUAAGGGUGACAAUUAGUUAAAAACAACAACUUAGUUCUUAACUUAGUCCAUAAUGUUUUCUAGAAGUAACUUAAAAACUUAGCAUCCCUAUCACAAUCUCCCUAAAGAACAAGUCAGCGACAUUAGAAGCAUCAUCUAUUUGGUAGCAUGCAAUAAAAUGAGCCAUCUUUGAAAAUCUAUCUACGACCAUAAAAAUUGAGUCUCUCCCUCGAUUAGACUUAGGUAACUCUAGUACAAAAUCCAUUGAAACUCUAGUACAAAGUCCAUCAAAACAUCAGUCCAAAGAGCAUUAGAUAUUGGCAACGUGGUGUAUAAGCCAUAGGGUUGCACUUUCGAUUUGGCUUGCCUACAAGUGACACAUCUACCAUAAAGUCUCUCAACAUCUUGUCUCUUAUGUGGCCAAAUAUAAGUGUUCCUGCAAAACUGCUAAAGUCUUUACAACACCAAAAUGCCCCAUCAACCCUCCUCUAUGGGAUUCUCUCACUAACAAAUCUCUUAAAGAACAAUUAGGCACACCCAAUUUAUUCCCCAAAAUAAGUAACCAUCAUGCCUAAAGUACUUAUUGGUAUUCAAUACUAAAAUCAUGGUUAUCAGUAUACAAUUCUUUAAUAUGUUCAAAACCAAGCAGUUUAACAUUAAGUGUCAAGAUUAAUACAUACAUGUGGGAAAGCACAUCUGCAAUAAUUUUUUCCUUACCUUGCUUGUAAUGAAUGACAUAUGAAAACGUCUCUAUGAAUUCUACCCACCAAGCAUGCCUUUUAUUCAACUUGUGUUAGCCUUUAAGGUGAUCAAGAACUCAUGAUCAGUGUCAAUCAUGAACUCCUUAGGCCAUAGGUAGUUCUGCCACAUUUCUAACGCUCGAAUCAAUGAAUACAACUCCUUAUCGUAAAUAGGGUAGUUUACGGCUGCCCCACUUAGUUUCUCAUUAAAGUAAAUAAUUGGUCGUCCCUCCUACAUUAAGACUAUGCCAAUACCAAUACAUGAGGCGUAGCAUUCAAUUUCAAACAUUUUAUUAUAGUUAGGCAAGGACAAUAAGGGAGCAUUGGUUAGCUUUUGCUUAAUUAUUUGAAAUGCUUUCUCUGGUUCUUCGUCCCAUUUGAAUCCAACAUCUUUUUUUAUUACUUCAAUAAGUGGUGUGGCCAAUGUGCUAAAGUCUUUUACAAAUUGCCAGUAAAAGCUAGCGAGCUUGUGAAUAAUUCUCACAUUACUUACACUUGUGGGACUCGGCCACUCUUGGAUUUCAUGUACCUUCUCCUUAUCAACCAAUAUACCCUGUGCACUCACAACAAAUCCUAGAAACAAAAGUUUAUUGGUACAAAAGGUACACUUCUUCAUAUUAACAAACAACUUUUCCUUCCUAAGCACAUCUAAAACAGAUCUCAAAUGUACUACAUGCUCGUCCAAGUUUUUGAUAUAUAUGAGGAUAUCAUCAAAAUAAAUAGCAACAAACUUGGCAAUAAAAGCUUGCAAAACAUAAUUCAUAGGUCUCAUAAAAGUACUCGAGGCAUUUGUCAAACUAAAAGGCAUGACUAACCAUUCAUACAAACUGUAUUUUGUUUUAAAAGUAGUUUUCCAUUCAUCUCAUUCUUUUAUUCUAAUAUAAUGAUAUCCACUUUUCAGGUCAAUUUUAGAAAAUACACAAGACUCAUGCAAUUAAUCAAGCAUAUCAUAUAGCCUAGGAAUAUGAUGUCAAUACCUUACCAUUAUGUUGUUGAUGGCUCGACAAGUAACACACAUCCUUUAUGUUCCAUCCUUUUUAGGAACUAAUAAAACUGAAACUGCACAUGGACUCAUGCUUUCUCCCACGUCCCUUUUUUCCAUCAAUUCAUUAAAGUUCCUUUGUCUCCUCUGGGUUGCUCCUAUAGGCUGGUCAAUUUAGAAUGGUUGCAUCGGGUACGAAAUCAAUUUGAUGCUCAAUCCCUUAGAUUGGAGGUAAACUAUAUGGUGUUUCCUCGGGAAAGACAUCCUCAUAUUCCUACAAGAGAGAAGUAAUAGAACUAGGCAAAGUAAGGUCAAGUUCGUUAGUGUUUAAAAAUGCCUCUUUGUACAAAAGUAUAAUCAUUGGCUAAUGUGAGAACAAUACUUUUUUUUUAUCUCACUCGCUCUUGCAUAUAAAUUCUUUUGUUUCAUCUAUGAUUUUCUCUCAAUGGUCGUACUUUUCUUGACUUUUUCUCUCUCAUUUUUCUUUUGCUCACUCUCUCUUUGUACGCUCACUUGGUCUCCAUAAACCUGCUUUGGUGUCAAUUGAAUAAGAGUCAUGUUGCGUUGAUUAAAUACAAAAGAAUAUUUGUUGGUGAGGCCAUCAUUCUUCACACGUCUGUUGAAUUGCAAAGGCUUCGUAAGUAACAAGUGUCCAACUUGCAUUGGUACUACAUCACAUAACAUCUUAUCUUCAUACUUGCUAAUCCAAAAAGUCACUAGCCUGCUUGUUCAUUUUCACCUCACCACUGUCAUUUAACCACUACAGUUUGUAUGGCUGUGGGUGUUUAAGUGUCGGAAGCCCUAACUUUUCCACCAUGAUAGUACUACCAACAUUAAUACAACUUCCUCCAUCAAUAAUUAUACAACAUACUUUGUCUUAAACAUGGCACCUGGUAUGGAAAAUGUUUUCCCGUUGCACUGCUUCGUCUUCCUUUACUUGCAAAGUCAAAGCUCUCCUAACUACUAAUAGUCAAUUCCCCAGGGGUUGUAUACUUGAUAACUCUAUGAAUAAGAGUUAUCAUGGUAAUUUUACACUUAAAUCAUUAUUACUUAGAGAGUAAAUGACAUGUUUUUAUUGCAUUUUAGUUUUAUUUUGCAUGAACAACUGUUUUAGUUUAUUUUUAAUAAAUUACAUUGUUUUAGAAAAAUUUUGUGUGCUUAGAUUGUGUCCAUAAUUAUAGAUGAUUCAAAGCUUAAAUUUCAAGGAAAGAAUGCUGCUACAAUAGGCUUGCAAAAUAUGGAAAAGAACUUGGCUACAGAAGAAAUUGAAGCAAAUCUGGAGCAGUACAGUUUCUGUAGCAAUCGUUGUUGUAGCAACCAUUACAUUGCUGUAGCAAUCCUAGAACAACGACAGAGAAAAUUUUACAGAAUAUUGCAAUCUGCAGUUUCCUAAUCUAGAAGAUACGCGACUUAGGCUUUCGUUUACCCUAAUUUUCAACUUUAAAAGGAGCACACAUCAUAAGAAAAAGGGAGCCGUCAAUCACGAUAAAAAGAAAAACACGAAACAAACAAGGAAGAAGAUUGAAGAGAAGGACGCAAGUCUGCACCAAUAACAAAAUCUACAUAAUAUUUGGGAUUCAACCUUUCUUAUUCGAUUAUUGUUCUUCUUCUUUAUUCUUUGGUUGAAAAUAUGUACUUGAUGGCUGGAACUUUGUCGUUUGUUUUUCUUUUACAAGUUAAGAACUGAAUUUAAUUAUAGUUGAGUGACAAAUUAUCUAGAUGAGUUUUUGACUGUUCAUAUGAGUUGUUGCACAUCUGCUGUAGCACUUUACUCUAAUAAAUUAUAUUACACUCAUUAUUUCGGUUGACCUCCUAUUUAAUGACACAAGUUAAGAGAGAGCCACAACAUGGCCUGUCUUAAUGGAACAUAUUAGAGUAAUAUUUGGUCUUAAAUUAAGUUUCCUGGAUUGAGUCUCAACUUGAAUCCUAAAAGGGUUGUGCUUGGUUUAAGAUUUGUUAUGAACUAGAUAUAGGGAUUUACCUUGUAGGGUAAAGAGAAUCUAAGUUUGUACUGCCAUAUUUUAUGUUGACAUAACAACUGGUCACUGUUAGGUUGCAUAAAGGUAUGAGAUAUCUAACAUGCAACGACUGAGGAUGUAUGAGAAUCCUGCCAGUGCGGUAGAAUAUGUUGUAGCAACUGAACGUAACAAGCACUAAAUAGUCAAUCCGAUGAAAAGAAUUUGCUCACUCAACUACCACUUGUUCAUUGUUUUAACCGUGUGUUUAACGUGAAUUUUAGUUUUAGUAUCUCUACAUUUUGUGUUGCUGAAUUAUUACUAUUUCUAGUCAAUUGAUAUUUUUUUUAGUCAGAAAAGAGAUUACAUUGUUGAGAUUACUAUAGCAACUCUAGUAGCAUCAAUCCAUGUGGAGACGAUCUUGAUUACUCAUCAUCUUAUUACUUAUUGUGUACACUUGCACAUUAACACCAAUAAUACUUGAGCUAAAAAUAUACAACAAGUUUUUAGCGCCGUUGCCGGGGAUUGAUUGUUUAUUUUUGAGUUGUGAAAUCAAUUUUUACGGUGCUAAUCCUUGAACUUAUUUUGAAUUGUUUACUUUGUUAAUAGGCCACUCUUGCAUGCGCAAAUUCAAACUUGUUGAAUUUCAAUUUGAUCCAGAAAUUGAACAAACUGCAAGAAGAUUGAGAAGGGAGCAAAGAAACUUAAAAGCUGUUGUAGCCAUGGAUGACGUACAAAACUUAGGAAACUUAGAGCCUCAUGGACCAAUACAGCCUAUCAACGUAUAAAAAGGUCAAAAUUGGCAAGUUAACUAGAGAUUACCAGGAAAUAACAACAUUAUCUACAUGGCAGAUGAUAAAGACAGAGCCAUUAGAGAUUAUGCUGUGUUAGCUCCUCAAGUUAUACAUCCAGGUAUAGUGAGACCUGAGGUGGAAACUGUGAAUUUUGAACUUAAACCAGUGAUGUUUCAGAUGCUGCAAACAGUGGGACAAUUUAAUGGAUUGCCAUAAGAAGAUCCUCAUCUCCACCUUAAGUUAUUCUUGAAGGUGAGUGAUGCUUUUAAAAUUGCUGGAGCAUCAGAAGAUGCAUUGAGACUUAGACUCUUUUCUUACUCCUUAAGAGAUCAAGCUAGAGCAUGGUUGAAUUCUUUACCAUUAGACUCCAUCACUACAUGGAAUCUGCUGUACGGCCAAGGCGGAUGUACGGUACAGCAGAAGAUUUUUUUAUUUUGUUUUUUUUUUAUAUUUCUCUCCCUUCACAUCACUAACUCCUCUGCGUUAAAGAGUAUAGUAAUGAUUGUGACAUAGAGGCUUGAUGCAUUGCGAUCAUGAAAAGGAAGGUGAUAUAGAGGUUUGAUUAAUUGCAAAGCAUUAUAAGCCUUGUAGUUUAGUCAGCAGCUUAGUAAACUUAGUUAUGUUGACGUGGAAAGUUAGUUAUGACAAGAUUUGAUGAUUGUUUGACAUGAACCCCGCUAAGAACUUAUGCGACCCUAAUCAAUUUAGUUUCUAAGAUUAAAUCUAAACCUAUAAUUUAAUGAAACUGCGAUCCGAUGCUCAAUGAAAGCAUGAAUUUUGAUAUGUGAGGUCGCCACAAUCAGUUAUGGAUGAUCUAAUUGAUAAUUAAGAGUUUGAACACCACAAAAAUCUGAUAAGUUCAAAGAGUUUGUUUAAAAACUAAAAAGAAUUAACUCUCUCACUAAUUGCAUCAAAACCGAUCUAUCUCUAUUUAUUGGAUAGGAGUACAUUAAAUAGGUUGGUUACAAGAAUUUUUGGAAAUAAAUCGUACACCAAAAUCAAAUCGGAAUCUUAAUUUAAAGCAAAUAAGGAAAGAAUAUAAAUCAAAUCAUAAUCUUAAUCUAAGCGAAUGGGAAAGAAUCUAAAUCAAACCCGAAUCUUAAUCGGCUUAAAUGCCUUACAUCAAUUAAAAUAUAAACUCGAAAAUUAAAAGCGAAAUAACUGAUUUGUUUCUAGAGAAAUGGAAAAGUGUCCAAAAAGAAAAUUAGUAUAUUUUCCAAAUGGAAAAAUAUCUAAAAAAGAAAAAUAAUAUAUUUUCCCACCAUAAUGUGCAAGCCAACUUUCCAUUUCAUGGAAGUGAUUAUUUGGAAACUUUAAGAGCCUAAAUCAUGCAUUUAUCAUGUUCGAUUCCUUCAACGGGGCUCCACGAAUUUGAUUGAGCACAAGUUGCUUAAAUCAACCCAUUAAAUGGUUCUUUGAAUUUCUUUGCUCGAACUUUUGCGACUGAUCCGACAUGAACUUAAAUAGAAUCUGAAUAUACCUUAUCUCAUGUGCUUGUGACAAUUUUGUCCUAAAUCUCACCAUUCCCCUCCUCUUGAAAAGGAUUUGUCACCAAAUCAUCAUUUGCAUGAAAAUGACUCAAAUUAGAAACAUUAAAAGUAGCACUUACGUUAUACUCAUUGGGCAAAUCCAACUUGUAUGCAUUGUCAUUGAUCCAUUCUAAAACUUGGAAAGGACCAUCCCUUCGAGGUAAUAACUUAGAUUUACUCUGUUUCGGAAAUCGUUCAUUGCCCAUGUGUAAGCACACCUAAUCGUUGGGUUCAAAAACUAGCUUAUGUUGUCCUUUGUUGGCUUGUUUAACAUAUUGUUCAGUUCUUCACUCAAUGUUGAACUUCGCCAUCUCAUGUAUUUGUUUAAUAGUUUCAGCAUUUUUCUUGCCAUCUAAGUUAACAUGCUUAGAAACAGGUAGUGGAGUUAAAUCCAAUGGGGUUAAAGGAUCAAAACCAUAAACAAAAUUUAAACGGUGAAUACUUAGUAGUAGAAUAAACAGCUGCUGUACCGUACAUCCGCCUUGGCCGUACAGCAGUACAAAGAGCUUCUUUAAUGUAACGCCUUUUUUUUUUUACAGGGGGGGAAGAAAACCCUAAUUGUUUUAUAGUGAAAAAAAAGUUAAAAUUUUUAGUGUGAUUAAUUCACGAAUUUGUUAGCAUGGAUGGAGCCGCCAACAGGGGCGGAGGCGCUGGUGAUCCAUCGGCGACUGGUGGUGGUGGUACGCCUCCAUCGCAGCCGACCCCUGUGCAGAAUGCUACGAAUGCACCACCGCCGUUUCUGAGCAAAACUUAUGACAUGGUGGAUGAUCUGGCGACGGACUCGAUAGUGUCUUGGAGCCCUACCAGCAACAGCUUCGUCGUUUGGAACCCUCCGGAGUUCGCGCGUGACCUCCUUCCUAAGUACUUCAAGCACAACAACUUUUCUAGCUUUGUUCGCCAGUUAAACACUUACGUAUGUGUUUACUUAAUUGGCUUAUUUCAUCAAAGUUGCCUUUAGUUUGUUAGAUUUUAUUUCUUUACUUCCAAGUGCUGCUAUUAUUUGUGUUUUAGUUUCUGGAACAGUGUCUGUGUUUUUUUUAACAUAUUUGGGUUUUGGCUUGGGUUCUUGAUGAUUAAUGAAUAUGGUUGGUCUGCUUAUAUAAUUGAAGAUAUAUUUUUCAUAUGUAUUUUAUUUGCUAUUUGUUAUGGAUAGUGUUAAGUUAAUAUUUCGGAUUUAUCAUUUAGUUAAAAUUAUAUUGUCUCAAUAGACUGAUCUUUUCUGGUUGCUAAAGUAAUUGGUGAAAGUAAUGGAAAUAAUGGCUUGGAUCUUGUUUUUGGAUCAAUUGGCUGAUUCGAGUACUGUAUGUGAUUAGUUGCUGGAUUGUCUGAUGUGCCUUGAUACGUUACAUUACAAUAUUGAAAUUGGGGAUGAGGUUAAAAAGGGGUGGAGAUUUGAUUUUUAUUGCUUGAAUUUUCAGUGUGUUUUGAGAGAGGAAAAAAUGACCCUAAUAAACUCCAAUUAGAGUAUGAGAAACCAGAAAAUCUUCGGUUAGCAGUCUAAUGGAGUGCUGGAGCGUCUGGAUUAAAUUCAAGUGUUCCCGAACCGUUAGAACUACCAUGGAAAUGCUCCAUUUGGUUGCUAAGAAACUUAGAAGGAAAAAUGGUAGGAUGUUACCUUUUAAAAUCAAAUUUUGUACGUUGCUUUGGCUUUUGAAAAAGCAGGGUUGAUUACAUUUGCUGGAUGGGUGAUGAUGGGGGUUCAAUGCUUCUGUAUCAAUGCCUUCUGAAUGUUGGAAUGUUAAUUAUUGAAACCUGUAAUGAUGUCUCUUCGUGCGUUUUUUCAGCAACCAAAUGGAGCAGAAGGGGGAAAUGGGGAAAGAAUUCAAAUCUCAGGUUUAUCAUAACCUGAUUUCAAAGGUUACUUAUGAUUAUUACUCUUUUUUUUUUUUGGUUCCUGUUGUAAUAGUUUAAAGUCAGCUGGAGGCUAGAAUAGUGCUGAACUUACAGAGCUUAGGCAAUACCUAUUUAAUGAUAGGCAAAAGAGCUUGUGCAAGUCUAGAUGUGGCAAUCUGGUGUUUUCAAUUGUCUGUUAUGCUUGGUAACAGAAGGUAACAAAUUAUUUUGUAUUCUCACCAUUGUAAUUUGCAGCCAUCCAGAGGCUAGGUGGUGAAUAAACUGCAUUUUAGGCGAUACAUGUACUGCCUCUUUGUUACGAAUCAAGCUUCUGCAAUGCACAAUGUUCAAAUAUAACUAUGAGGAACCUUCCCCCCCACCUCUUUCUGAUGCAUAUUGUUUUGACUAAUAUACACUUGGAAAACAGAGUAUUUUCCCAAAGCUCCAUAUCUAUUUCUAGGCAUAACCCAUCUUGUACUUUGUCAUAGUCUAAUCUAUCUAAAAAUAAUUGUUAUCUACUGGAUAAUGAAUUUGUGGAGGAAGCUAGAGAUUCCACACAUUGUGUUUUCUUUACUAUGCAUACUGGUCUUGUGUGUAAACCUAUGAUGUAAGCAUAAUAUUUGUUUUGCGACUUGAAUAUAAAUCCUCAUUUCUUUUUUAUUCAUUUAUUUACUGUUUAGGUUAAUAAAAGAAAUUAAAUAGUUAUAUAUGAGCGAAAGAAAACACCUUCUAAAUUCGUAGUAAACGUGGAGUAAGUCUCAUUUCCUAUGUGCAAGUGUUAGGGAUAAGUAAACAAAAGUAAAAGUGGAGAAAGCCCUUUACCCUAAGACUGGUUGAUUGAUCAUCCUAGCUUGAAGCGGGAUUAAAACACCUGUCCUAUGGAAUUUUCAUUUUUCAUUAGCUUCUGUAUGUGUUACAAUACAUAGAUUGCACAACGGUUUGCUGAAAAUGAUGUAUCUAGCUGGUGAUGAUUUGCCUGGAUGACGCAUUAGCUUUGUCUUGUAAAUCUAAACUAUGGUCUUUGUAAAUCCUUAUUCGAAACUGUAGAUCUAUACACAUUUUAUACAGAUUAUAUGGUCUAAAUUAUGUUUCUGCAUUAAAUUAAAAAUACAAUAAUCUUAAGAAUUAUGUAUGGCUGUAGUACUUGAUAAUGUUGUUAAUGUCAAGACGUAAGAAAUUGUUUAUGCUGUUGUUGGCCAAAUUGCUAACAUUAUCUGGAAGUUUGUGCUUCCAUUGCAUAAUUAUUUUUUCAUUCUGUGAAAACAAAUUUAGUUAGCAUAAACUUUACUUGAUUUUGCCAACACAGCACCAGAUAGUAAUUUGACUAUCAUAAGAUGCUGAUGACUUAAGAUAGCUUAUGGUGCACUUAGAAAAUGAGCACAACAUGGUAAUUUGAUAGUUUUAUUAUCUUUUGUGUUAGCAUCUUCAUUCUAAUCUUUGGUUUCUUGAUCGAUCUUGUAUUUACCAUAAGUUUUAUCUUCCGUUUGCUGAUACUAAGUGUUGCUAGUUAGUUAAAAGUAGUGUGGAUACUUCUUUUUAUGCUAAGAAACUAGAAUCUUUGGAGCAGUUCAAAGGUCUUGUAGUUCUUUGCUUUUGGAGUAUGUUUUUGCCUUCGGAAGGAGAAAGAAGGCGAAAUAGCAGUGGAAGUAUGGUGUACUAUCUCUUUUUUUUUUUUUUUUCUUUUUGGGUCAAUUGGGAAAAGUAGAUGCCUCUUCGAAGAUAAGAGAGAGAACCAAGUCUUUUGCUUGCAUAAAAUUUGCUUUUUUAAUAUCUCUUUGGCUUUUGUUUCUAAAGAAUAUUAAGAUAAUUCUUUCUUUUUAUUCUUUUAUAUUGGGAAGGAUUUUAAGUUGGUUUUUAUGUGUAGAGGGCAGUUUUAUUGCACGGGCAGGGUUUUUUUUCUUUAUUGUAUAGAGAAUGUCUCAUAGAUAUUCAUAUUAUUGUUGUAUGGCUCAAGUUUUCCCUCUUUAUGGUAAUUUUGUUUGGCUGCAUUAGGUUAAUAUGCACCUACGUACCUCAUUAUUUUACUGUUGUUGGUGCUAGGAUUUGACCAGUUGUACACUUUUUUUUAAUAUUUUUGGCUAUUUAAAUUAUAAAAUUAAGUAACAAGUUUAUUAUAUAUACAAAAUUAAUUAGUUUACAAUGUCAAGUAAUGGAAUUUGGACUUUACUCAAGCGAUUCUACAGAAAGCAGGAAUCCUAAUUCCUUAUUCCUUGAUGUCUUAACAAACAGAAUGGGGGGAAAAGAAUCCUGUUUCCAUUCCCACCCUUAUUCUUGUUGACUGAACAUCAGGUAAGGUCAGUCUCUACCAUGUAAGAUAAUUUGUACCUAAAAUUUCUUGUUUCAAAUUCUCACAAUUUAGUAAUGAACCUCUUGAAAUGAUGUAGAAAAUAAAGGACAGGAAAGCAAUUUUUUUGCCCCUUCACAUUAUUAAAAUUGAGCUUCUUCUAGAAGGAACAAAUACCUGAUGAAUUAGUUUGAUCAUUUCCAUGUACCUAGCAUUCUCUACACCGUCCUCUUUUGGUUGAGAAAAUGUGCUCAAGUUUUUAGGAGUUCUAAAAGAUUAAAAUUCGGAUGGUCUUUGUUUACCAUAAGCUUUACUGACUAUGUGUUGACUUUUUGAUAAUUUGUCAAUUCUGCGGAGCGAACGUAUUUUCCUUCCAUUAAAUUUCACUUGUCAAACAGGGUUUUAGAAAAGUUGAUCCGGACCGCUGGGAAUUCGCAAAUGAGGGCUUUUUACGUGGUCAAAAGCACCUGCUUCGGAGUAUUAGUAGGAGAAAACCUGCGCACGGACAUGGUCAUCAGCAGUCACAUCAACAAAAUGCACAAAGUUCUUCCGUGGGUGCUUGUGUUGAAGUUGGGAAAUUUGGGCUUGAGGAAGAAGUAGAGAGGCUUAAGAGGGACAAGAACGUGCUUAUGCAGGAACUUGUUAGGUUGAGGCAGCAGCAGCAGGCUACUGAUAGCCAGCUGCAAACCAUGGUUCAACGUCUUCAGGGGAUGGAGCAGCGGCACCAGCAAAUGAUGGCAUUCCUGGCAAAAGCUGUGCAGAGCCCUGGUUUCCUAGCCCAGUUUGUACAGCAACAAAAUGAUAGCAAUAAACGGAUAGCUGAAGCCAACAAAAAGCGUAGGAUCAGGCAGGAAGGUGUUGCUGAAGAUGAUCAUGCUACUACUGCUGAUGGACAGAUUGUUAAGUACCAACCUUCUAUGAACGAGGCAGCAAAAUCAAUGCUUAGGAAGAUUAUAAAAAUGGAGAGUUCUCAGCUAGAAUCUUUUAACAACAAUCAUGAUAACUACCUGAUUGGAGAUGGUGCAUCGUCAUCUAAUACUGGAAGCACUUCAAGCCGUAUGUCAGGAGUAACUCUUCAAGAAGUCCCCCAAACUUCAGGACCUUAUGCGCCAGCAGCUUCUGGGAUAUUAGCGGAUGGUCCAUCAGCUGCUGCAACCGAAAGGCAAUCCUCUUCACGUUCCACAGCUUCUGAAAAGACUACAACAGAUCAGUUUCCAGAUAUUAAUUUGCUGGUAGCGGCACAAGAAGCAACCUCUCUUCCUAUUUCAGAGUCUGACGUAAUCAUGCCUGAUCUCGCUCAGAUUCCAGAAAUAAUGCCCGAAAGUAUGGAUGGUAUUCCUGCAGAAAGUUUCAUUGGAUCCAGGAUGGAGAAUGGAGGAUAUGUUGAUCCCACUUCAUUGAUAGUGAAUGGUUCAGUGCCUAUAGAAAUUGAUGACAUUUCAACUGAUGCUGAUAUUGAUGCUUUGCUAGAGAGUUCUGGCUUAUGGGAUAUUGUACACAGUCCAGUUCCCGAGGACAUUGAAUCAACCUCGGUGGAUGUCAAAACUGUGGGAAAUGAAAUGCAGGCAAUAGAGAACGGAUGGAACAAAGUCCAGAGUAUGGAUCAGCUCACGGAACAAAUGGGUCUUCUUAACUCGGAGACAAAAGAGGUCUGAUUUAAAAUGCUAAAUGUACCACUGGUUCUAUUAUCAUCUGAGGGUCAGAAAAUAGAGGGAAAAGGGGAAAAAAAUUGACAGUUCAUGAUCUACUUAUUUGGUCGAUGAAAACAGCUAAUUCCUUCUGUAGUAUCUCUUCAGCCUGGGUCUGUCGCAAUCACAUUGAAGCACCCAAUUUAGUGCCCCCCUCCUCUCUGGUAUUUGGAUGCUGCCCCAAGAUUCUAUAGUUUGUAUAGGUUGAUGUCCUCCUUCGGCGAGACAACCUUCGUUCUACCAAGGAUUGAUAUUGCUUAUAAUGAAUGCUUUCAUAAAUUUCGAUUAUAUUACCAUAAAAACUCCAAGGCAACGUCUAUUUUUGCAGUGGGGAUCACAAACCCUACUUCGGGCGCUCCAUUAUGUUCAAACACCAUUGAUAAGUAGAUAUCUAAGUCGAAGUUGCUGAGUUUAGAGAUGACGUUGCUACUAAAUGUUCAUUGGGUACAAUUCCGUCACCGCUGAAAAAAGCUCAAAUCUAAAGUGCCAAACAAAUGUACUCUUUUCUUUUUCAACAAAUGUUUAUCAGCCAGCAAGUAUAUUUCUAGCAGCAACCAGGUUAUAUUUGUUACUAACGGCUGGCCAAGAAUGUUUUAAAAACACAUUAUUGAAAAAUCGGAAGCAAUUAGAUUAAAUAUGCAUUUUAAAAAGUGCAAAGAAUGAGAGACACGUCAUAAAUCUUUAUUCACAAAAAAAUUAUCUUUUUUUCCGCUAAAAUUUCUGCAACAUAUUAGUUCACCAUCAAAAUUUUCUGAUAGAUAUAUUUUAUCACCAAAAGCUUAACACUACUAAAAAAUUAUUGAGGUCGUCAGGUAUUUAAGAAAUUUCAAGUUGAAGUUAUUUUCAUAUUUUUCUAGUUCUUUUCCGAAUUUUAUAUUUUUCUUUAGACAUUUGAUUUAGGAGCUUUUUUUUUCCCUUAUUUCAAUUAUUAAAAUUUUCCAAAAGAAAUUUUAAAAAUUGCUCUUUCGUUAUACCUAAUUUCAAAACAAUUAUGGAUGGAGAGUAAGUUUUCUUUUUGAAAGUAACAAAUAGUUAAGUUUAAGACUAUUGUUAUUCUCUUUUACCUUAAAAUAGUUGCUAAAUGUUAACAGUUAUUGACAUCUCAAUCCGGAACAUACCUAAAAGUUACCACAAUCCCGAUGCAAUGUGUGUUUUAGCUGCCAACGCUAAGCUCUCAAAUACUUUACAACUUGGCUUUUGCAAUUCAUCAUAUUAUUUCUCACACAAUUUUAGAUUUUACGAUUCUAUUGUAAAAAUCCAAAACAUAUCUUACUAUCAAUAGUAUAAGAUUCUCAAACUAUUAAUUGACAAAGCCAGUGGCUCCAGUAGAGCUACUCCACUGUGGAGAACUAACGAUGACCAUCAGAUCAUAAUAGUAAGUAUAAAUUUAAUAUUUAUCUCUAUAAUCACACAGUCAUCAUCAAGUGCUCUACCGUAAAGUAGUUUCAACAUAAUCGGAUCUAAUGACGAAUUGUAGUUAUAAAAUCUAGUAUAGAUUCAAGGCUUACCAUGAUAUACCAUAGUUAUAAAUCAAUUUGCCGUCCCUAACAAUGACAACUGCUUGCACUUAGCCAACUCAACUAUCUCCAUCGCCAUGGAAUACAUUUAAUGUGAAACAUAUCAGAGAAUUAUCAUUUGACCAAAUGGUAUAAACAAACAUAAAUAACAGAAUAUUUCAUUAGAAACCCCAGAAGGAGAACAUUUCAUUGAAAUGCUGAAUUUUCCACCAGCAGUAACGAAAUAAUAUACUCUUUAAAGAUUGAUCUUCCAUUUUCGCUAGGAACAAAGAGGCAUUUAGAGGUAUAAGGUAACUCAAUGGACACUAAUAAUAGAUACUAAAUAGCAAAGCUAUUUGAAGCACUAGAGAAUACUAAAAUGUAGAGAGUACUAAAAUGUUAUAUCUCAGCUCAAAAGGUGGACAGGUAGCAACUAAGAACUCUAGUUAGCAACUUUAGUUCAGUUUUAAUGUUUACUUCAUAUUUGGUUCACAAAAUUGUAAACCUGUUGGUUUCUUUCUAGUUCAGCUUUGAGCCAAAACCGAAUCGAACCAGAUGGUGUUGUGCAAGGUAACUGUAGAACUCUUUUAUUACUUUUGAAAGCUCUUUUAUGUUAAUUGGAUACCAGCAACCUUACAAUAAAUUAUUUCAACUUUUAACAUGUGAAUGUCAGUAAAGGACAAGAAACACAACCUCCUCCCAUGCAUAGGAGAAUUACUAUAUUUUAUUAUUUAUUAUUAUUAUUAUUAUUUUCUCUUUAAUAAUAAUGUCUUCAACUUUAUUACAAAGAGGACGUCUCACCCCUUGAGAGUUAAUUGUAGCAUGUGAUGCCAAAUAAUAACGGCGCACAAAAACUAUUUGCACAAACUUUUUUAUAGAAUUGAAUUGAUAGCUGACGUGGCAUAUGACCUAGUUAAGUGAUUGUAACUUAACGAUGUAAAAAGCAUAAGGACUAAAAAAAGUUUUAAAAAGAUUUUUUUAUUUUGUUUUUUUUUUAUAUUUCUCUCCCUUCACAUCACUAACUCCUCUGCGUUAAAGAGUAUAGUAAUGAUUGUGACAUAGAGGCUUGAUGCAUUGCGAUCAUGAAAAGGAAGGUGAUAUAGAGGUUUGAUUAAUUGCAAAGCAUUAUAAGCCUUGUAGUUUAGUCAGCAGCUUAGUAAACUUAGUUAUGUUGACGUGGAAAGUUAGUUAUGACAAGAUUUGAUGAUUGUUUGACAUGAACCCCGCUAAGAACUUAUGCGACCCUAAUCAAUUUAGUUUCUAAGAUUAAAUCUAAACCUAUAAUUUAAUGAAACUGCGAUCCGAUGCUCAAUGAAAGCAUGAAUUUUGAUAUGUGAGGUCGCCACAAUCAGUUAUGGAUGAUCUAAUUGAUAAUUAAGAGUUUGAACACCACAAAAAUCUGAUAAGUUCAAAGAGUUUGUUUAAAAACUAAAAAGAAUUAACUCUCUCACUAAUUGCAUCAAAACCGAUCUAUCUCUAUUUAUUGGAUAGGAGUACAUUAAAUAGGUUGGUUACAAGAAUUUUUGGAAAUAAAUCGUACACCAAAAUCAAAUCGGAAUCUUAAUUUAAAGCAAAUAAGGAAAGAAUAUAAAUCAAAUCAUAAUCUUAAUCUAAGCGAAUGGGAAAGAAUCUAAAUCAAACCCGAAUCUUAAUCGGCUUAAAUGCCUUACAUCAAUUAAAAUAUAAACUCGAAAAUUAAAAGCGAAAUAACUGAUUUGUUUCUAGAGAAAUGGAAAAGUGUCCAAAAAGAAAAUUAGUAUAUUUUCCAAAUGGAAAAAUAUCUAAAAAAGAAAAAUAAUAUAUUUUCCCACCAUAAUGUGCAAGCCAACUUUCCAUUUCAUGGAAGUGAUUAUUUGGAAACUUUAAGAGCCUAAAUCAUGCAUUUAUCAUGUUCGAUUCCUUCAACGGGGCUCCACGAAUUUGAUUGAGCACAAGUUGCUUAAAUCAACCCAUUAAAUGGUUCUUUGAAUUUCUUUGCUCGAACUUUUGCGACUGAUCCGACAUGAACUUAAAUAGAAUCUGAAUAUACCUUAUCUCAUGUGCUUGUGACAAUUUUGUCCUAAAUCUCACCAUUCCCCUCCUCUUGAAAAGGAUUUGUCACCAAAUCAUCAUUUGCAUGAAAAUGACUCAAAUUAGAAACAUUAAAAGUAGCACUUACGUUAUACUCAUUGGGCAAAUCCAACUUGUAUGCAUUGUCAUUGAUCCAUUCUAAAACUUGGAAAGGACCAUCCCUUCGAGGUAAUAACUUAGAUUUACUCUGUUUCGGAAAUCGUUCAUUGCCCAUGUGUAAGCACACCUAAUCGUUGGGUUCAAAAACUAGCUUAUGUUGUCCUUUGUUGGCUUGUUUAACAUAUUGUUCAGUUCUUCACUCAAUGUUGAACUUCGCCAUCUCAUGUAUUUGUUUAAUAGUUUCAGCAUUUUUCUUGCCAUCUAAGUUAACAUGCUUAGAAACAGGUAGUGGAGUUAAAUCCAAUGGGGUUAAAGGAUCAAAACCAUAAACAAAAUUUAAACGGUGAAUACUUAGUAGUAGAAUAAACAGCUGCUGUACCGUACAUCCGCCUUGGCCGUACAGCAGUACAAAGAGCUUCUUUAAUGUAACGCCUUUUUUUUUUUACAGGGGGGGAAGAAAACCCUAAUUGUUUUAUAGUGAAAAAAAAGUUAAAAUUUUUAGUGUGAUUAAUUCACGAAUUUGUUAGCAUGGAUGGAGCCGCCAACAGGGGCGGAGGCGCUGGUGAUCCAUCGGCGACUGGUGGUGGUGGUACGCCUCCAUCGCAGCCGACCCCUGUGCAGAAUGCUACGAAUGCACCACCGCCGUUUCUGAGCAAAACUUAUGACAUGGUGGAUGAUCUGGCGACGGACUCGAUAGUGUCUUGGAGCCCUACCAGCAACAGCUUCGUCGUUUGGAACCCUCCGGAGUUCGCGCGUGACCUCCUUCCUAAGUACUUCAAGCACAACAACUUUUCUAGCUUUGUUCGCCAGUUAAACACUUACGUAUGUGUUUACUUAAUUGGCUUAUUUCAUCAAAGUUGCCUUUAGUUUGUUAGAUUUUAUUUCUUUACUUCCAAGUGCUGCUAUUAUUUGUGUUUUAGUUUCUGGAACAGUGUCUGUGUUUUUUUUAACAUAUUUGGGUUUUGGCUUGGGUUCUUGAUGAUUAAUGAAUAUGGUUGGUCUGCUUAUAUAAUUGAAGAUAUAUUUUUCAUAUGUAUUUUAUUUGCUAUUUGUUAUGGAUAGUGUUAAGUUAAUAUUUCGGAUUUAUCAUUUAGUUAAAAUUAUAUUGUCUCAAUAGACUGAUCUUUUCUGGUUGCUAAAGUAAUUGGUGAAAGUAAUGGAAAUAAUGGCUUGGAUCUUGUUUUUGGAUCAAUUGGCUGAUUCGAGUACUGUAUGUGAUUAGUUGCUGGAUUGUCUGAUGUGCCUUGAUACGUUACAUUACAAUAUUGAAAUUGGGGAUGAGGUUAAAAAGGGGUGGAGAUUUGAUUUUUAUUGCUUGAAUUUUCAGUGUGUUUUGAGAGAGGAAAAAAUGACCCUAAUAAACUCCAAUUAGAGUAUGAGAAACCAGAAAAUCUUCGGUUAGCAGUCUAAUGGAGUGCUGGAGCGUCUGGAUUAAAUUCAAGUGUUCCCGAACCGUUAGAACUACCAUGGAAAUGCUCCAUUUGGUUGCUAAGAAACUUAGAAGGAAAAAUGGUAGGAUGUUACCUUUUAAAAUCAAAUUUUGUACGUUGCUUUGGCUUUUGAAAAAGCAGGGUUGAUUACAUUUGCUGGAUGGGUGAUGAUGGGGGUUCAAUGCUUCUGUAUCAAUGCCUUCUGAAUGUUGGAAUGUUAAUUAUUGAAACCUGUAAUGAUGUCUCUUCGUGCGUUUUUUCAGCAACCAAAUGGAGCAGAAGGGGGAAAUGGGGAAAGAAUUCAAAUCUCAGGUUUAUCAUAACCUGAUUUCAAAGGUUACUUAUGAUUAUUACUCUUUUUUUUUUUUGGUUCCUGUUGUAAUAGUUUAAAGUCAGCUGGAGGCUAGAAUAGUGCUGAACUUACAGAGCUUAGGCAAUACCUAUUUAAUGAUAGGCAAAAGAGCUUGUGCAAGUCUAGAUGUGGCAAUCUGGUGUUUUCAAUUGUCUGUUAUGCUUGGUAACAGAAGGUAACAAAUUAUUUUGUAUUCUCACCAUUGUAAUUUGCAGCCAUCCAGAGGCUAGGUGGUGAAUAAACUGCAUUUUAGGCGAUACAUGUACUGCCUCUUUGUUACGAAUCAAGCUUCUGCAAUGCACAAUGUUCAAAUAUAACUAUGAGGAACCUUCCCCCCCACCUCUUUCUGAUGCAUAUUGUUUUGACUAAUAUACACUUGGAAAACAGAGUAUUUUCCCAAAGCUCCAUAUCUAUUUCUAGGCAUAACCCAUCUUGUACUUUGUCAUAGUCUAAUCUAUCUAAAAAUAAUUGUUAUCUACUGGAUAAUGAAUUUGUGGAGGAAGCUAGAGAUUCCACACAUUGUGUUUUCUUUACUAUGCAUACUGGUCUUGUGUGUAAACCUAUGAUGUAAGCAUAAUAUUUGUUUUGCGACUUGAAUAUAAAUCCUCAUUUCUUUUUUAUUCAUUUAUUUACUGUUUAGGUUAAUAAAAGAAAUUAAAUAGUUAUAUAUGAGCGAAAGAAAACACCUUCUAAAUUCGUAGUAAACGUGGAGUAAGUCUCAUUUCCUAUGUGCAAGUGUUAGGGAUAAGUAAACAAAAGUAAAAGUGGAGAAAGCCCUUUACCCUAAGACUGGUUGAUUGAUCAUCCUAGCUUGAAGCGGGAUUAAAACACCUGUCCUAUGGAAUUUUCAUUUUUCAUUAGCUUCUGUAUGUGUUACAAUACAUAGAUUGCACAACGGUUUGCUGAAAAUGAUGUAUCUAGCUGGUGAUGAUUUGCCUGGAUGACGCAUUAGCUUUGUCUUGUAAAUCUAAACUAUGGUCUUUGUAAAUCCUUAUUCGAAACUGUAGAUCUAUACACAUUUUAUACAGAUUAUAUGGUCUAAAUUAUGUUUCUGCAUUAAAUUAAAAAUACAAUAAUCUUAAGAAUUAUGUAUGGCUGUAGUACUUGAUAAUGUUGUUAAUGUCAAGACGUAAGAAAUUGUUUAUGCUGUUGUUGGCCAAAUUGCUAACAUUAUCUGGAAGUUUGUGCUUCCAUUGCAUAAUUAUUUUUUCAUUCUGUGAAAACAAAUUUAGUUAGCAUAAACUUUACUUGAUUUUGCCAACACAGCACCAGAUAGUAAUUUGACUAUCAUAAGAUGCUGAUGACUUAAGAUAGCUUAUGGUGCACUUAGAAAAUGAGCACAACAUGGUAAUUUGAUAGUUUUAUUAUCUUUUGUGUUAGCAUCUUCAUUCUAAUCUUUGGUUUCUUGAUCGAUCUUGUAUUUACCAUAAGUUUUAUCUUCCGUUUGCUGAUACUAAGUGUUGCUAGUUAGUUAAAAGUAGUGUGGAUACUUCUUUUUAUGCUAAGAAACUAGAAUCUUUGGAGCAGUUCAAAGGUCUUGUAGUUCUUUGCUUUUGGAGUAUGUUUUUGCCUUCGGAAGGAGAAAGAAGGCGAAAUAGCAGUGGAAGUAUGGUGUACUAUCUCUUUUUUUUUUUUUUUUCUUUUUGGGUCAAUUGGGAAAAGUAGAUGCCUCUUCGAAGAUAAGAGAGAGAACCAAGUCUUUUGCUUGCAUAAAAUUUGCUUUUUUAAUAUCUCUUUGGCUUUUGUUUCUAAAGAAUAUUAAGAUAAUUCUUUCUUUUUAUUCUUUUAUAUUGGGAAGGAUUUUAAGUUGGUUUUUAUGUGUAGAGGGCAGUUUUAUUGCACGGGCAGGGUUUUUUUUCUUUAUUGUAUAGAGAAUGUCUCAUAGAUAUUCAUAUUAUUGUUGUAUGGCUCAAGUUUUCCCUCUUUAUGGUAAUUUUGUUUGGCUGCAUUAGGUUAAUAUGCACCUACGUACCUCAUUAUUUUACUGUUGUUGGUGCUAGGAUUUGACCAGUUGUACACUUUUUUUUAAUAUUUUUGGCUAUUUAAAUUAUAAAAUUAAGUAACAAGUUUAUUAUAUAUACAAAAUUAAUUAGUUUACAAUGUCAAGUAAUGGAAUUUGGACUUUACUCAAGCGAUUCUACAGAAAGCAGGAAUCCUAAUUCCUUAUUCCUUGAUGUCUUAACAAACAGAAUGGGGGGAAAAGAAUCCUGUUUCCAUUCCCACCCUUAUUCUUGUUGACUGAACAUCAGGUAAGGUCAGUCUCUACCAUGUAAGAUAAUUUGUACCUAAAAUUUCUUGUUUCAAAUUCUCACAAUUUAGUAAUGAACCUCUUGAAAUGAUGUAGAAAAUAAAGGACAGGAAAGCAAUUUUUUUGCCCCUUCACAUUAUUAAAAUUGAGCUUCUUCUAGAAGGAACAAAUACCUGAUGAAUUAGUUUGAUCAUUUCCAUGUACCUAGCAUUCUCUACACCGUCCUCUUUUGGUUGAGAAAAUGUGCUCAAGUUUUUAGGAGUUCUAAAAGAUUAAAAUUCGGAUGGUCUUUGUUUACCAUAAGCUUUACUGACUAUGUGUUGACUUUUUGAUAAUUUGUCAAUUCUGCGGAGCGAACGUAUUUUCCUUCCAUUAAAUUUCACUUGUCAAACAGGGUUUUAGAAAAGUUGAUCCGGACCGCUGGGAAUUCGCAAAUGAGGGCUUUUUACGUGGUCAAAAGCACCUGCUUCGGAGUAUUAGUAGGAGAAAACCUGCGCACGGACAUGGUCAUCAGCAGUCACAUCAACAAAAUGCACAAAGUUCUUCCGUGGGUGCUUGUGUUGAAGUUGGGAAAUUUGGGCUUGAGGAAGAAGUAGAGAGGCUUAAGAGGGACAAGAACGUGCUUAUGCAGGAACUUGUUAGGUUGAGGCAGCAGCAGCAGGCUACUGAUAGCCAGCUGCAAACCAUGGUUCAACGUCUUCAGGGGAUGGAGCAGCGGCACCAGCAAAUGAUGGCAUUCCUGGCAAAAGCUGUGCAGAGCCCUGGUUUCCUAGCCCAGUUUGUACAGCAACAAAAUGAUAGCAAUAAACGGAUAGCUGAAGCCAACAAAAAGCGUAGGAUCAGGCAGGAAGGUGUUGCUGAAGAUGAUCAUGCUACUACUGCUGAUGGACAGAUUGUUAAGUACCAACCUUCUAUGAACGAGGCAGCAAAAUCAAUGCUUAGGAAGAUUAUAAAAAUGGAGAGUUCUCAGCUAGAAUCUUUUAACAACAAUCAUGAUAACUACCUGAUUGGAGAUGGUGCAUCGUCAUCUAAUACUGGAAGCACUUCAAGCCGUAUGUCAGGAGUAACUCUUCAAGAAGUCCCCCAAACUUCAGGACCUUAUGCGCCAGCAGCUUCUGGGAUAUUAGCGGAUGGUCCAUCAGCUGCUGCAACCGAAAGGCAAUCCUCUUCACGUUCCACAGCUUCUGAAAAGACUACAACAGAUCAGUUUCCAGAUAUUAAUUUGCUGGUAGCGGCACAAGAAGCAACCUCUCUUCCUAUUUCAGAGUCUGACGUAAUCAUGCCUGAUCUCGCUCAGAUUCCAGAAAUAAUGCCCGAAAGUAUGGAUGGUAUUCCUGCAGAAAGUUUCAUUGGAUCCAGGAUGGAGAAUGGAGGAUAUGUUGAUCCCACUUCAUUGA